UGUUGAGUAACUUUUUAUAAAUUGUUUUCAUAUUUGUAGUGGUUUUGUAAGGAUUUAAAUUAUUACUUGCUCUGUGUGAGACGUUCAGAGUUCAAGUGACCCUUUAUUUUACGAUUAAGCCAGAAUUUAUAAAUUUCAAGUGGUUUUAAGAUGUGCGACGAGUACGAAUUGUUUGAAUACUUAGAGAGUGAAUGCCGAAUGGAGAGAAGAAAUAAGCGUCGUCGGUUAAGGCAAAUUAAUGACCCUUUCAAAUUGGAGGAUAGAGAGUUUAUAAAUGAAUAUAGAUUAUCACUAGAUUUGUUUAGAGAUCUGUGUAAGGAGUUGGAGCCUAUUUUAAAGACUCGACCUAAACAAUCCAAUGAUUUAAGCAUUGAAACAAAGAUGUUAACAGCAGUGUAUUUAUAUGCACAUGGGUCUUAUCAGAAACCCACUGGUAAAGCUCAAAGUAUUGCGCAGCAGACUGUCUCUUCUGUAUUAUCAGAGGUUACAGCUGCUUUAAAUAAUUUAGAAAUCAGAAAUAAAUACAUUAAAUUUCCCUAAAAUACUGCAUAUCGUAAUACAAAUAAGUUAAGAUUUUAUGAAAAACUUGGUAUUCCUGGUGUGGUUAGAUGCAUUGAUUGUUCCCAUAUUGCAAUAGUAAGACCCAAUGAACAUGAAGAAAGGUAUUAUUGCAGAAAAAAUUAUCAUUCCCUAAAUGUUCAAUUGGUAAUGUGAAAUUUAAUUACGAUUUACAUAUUUUAAAAUAUUAAGUAGACUCCAUUGCAGCCAAAUUACCUGUGUUACCUAACACAACUUAGUGGGGGGGAAAGGGAUUGUUAGUAAUGGAGACUGAAUGUCGACCUCCUCGCGUUUCUCCCUGGAAACUAUCAUGGUUAAUUCCUGAUGAAUUCAUCAUGAUGGGCUAACUGACCUGUUUUCAUUCUCAUCUAUCACCCUUCACUGGUGCUCCUCCAGCGUAUCCCACUAGCGCAGGCGAGGUUACCAUUCCAUUUUCACCCAUCAAAAAAAACACAACUUAGUAAACCCUGAUAAAGAUGUUUAAAUUUUUAUUACUCAGUAAAUUAAAUUUACUACUCUGAUAGACCAUAUAUAAGAUCAACAUAGGAUAUUUUUUAUUUAAUACAUGGUGGUAAACCAUAUUAUAUGGUGGUAGGAUUUGCCACUAUGAAUUAAACAAAAGAUUCAUAAAUUAUAUGCAUAAUGAAGCUAGUUAGAAAUAACUGCAGCUUCUUUUUUUUAUUUUAAUUAAAAAAUAAAACAUAUUAUAACAUAGUAUGAGCUAUAUUGAAAUAAAAGAUACAGAAUGUACAUUGUAUUGUAUUGUAUGGUAAAAUCUUUAUUGUGCAUAAUUUAAAUUAGGCACAUUAAAAGAUUUAAUAUACAAUGGUGGACUUAGCUCAUUACAUUUUAAUUAUAAUCUUACUAACAUAAUAAAAUUGUAACUUGACAAUGUCUAUACAUGAAGAUUUAAGAAAAAUUUAUAUGAGAAGUUUUAAUAAGAACAUUAGAUGCCAAAACAAUAAUUUUGAAAAAUGUUGUCUAUAAAUUUGUUCUGGUAUCAUGCAAAAACUACUGCAUCAAAUUGGAUAUUGUUUUCAUAAUGGUAUUACUUAUUCUAUAUUGUUAUACAACUGUUAUAAACAGCAAAUUAUAUAUUUUAGUUAUUUUAUAUUUAUUAUAUCAAAUGAUUUAUAAUUACAAUAUAAAUAUAUAAAAUAGUUUGUACAACAAAGCACUUAUUUUGGCUAUAUUUGUUUUAUUUUUUAUUGGAAAAUGGUGAUAUACAUAAGAAAUAUAAUAGUUUCAUAUCUACAAUAAUUAAACAGUAAAUCAUACUACUAUAUUGUUGUAACAUGUACAGUAAAAGAGGUAUUGAUCUCUCAUUUUUAUACUUUAUUUUCAUUCUCCUCUAUCAUCCUUCACUGGUGUUUCGGCAGCGUAUCCCGUUAGCGCAAGCGGGGUUACCAUACCAUUUUCACCCAUAAAAAAAAAUUCACUAUCGUAUGGGAGAAACGUAUGCCCAGGCUGCAAAAAUCUCAACGUAAUAGUUUCCAACAUACUGUGAUUUAGUAAUGUGUGAAGUAACAUGACAACCAUUUUUAUACUUCAAUUUGACCUCCACAUGGGUCCAGACCACCACAGAAACAGAUGUUUAACUGUCGGCUUAAGUUCUUCUAAAAUAAACUUUCUUAAACAAGAUCCUACUUCCUGUGUACCCCGAACAGCUUCAUGUUCUAACCAAAUAUCCGCAAUCCGUACUGCCAUAGUGAGUUCCUAAAUUAUAUAAAAUUCAAUUGUCUCUUGUAGUAAGCUAUACCACUUGGAAUACAGGAUAAGCUGUGUGUAAAUCAAACGUCAGUGCUUCUAUUUCAAGAUUAGAUUUAGCUGACAUUAAAUCAGUGUUCAUUUGAUUACGAAGAGAUGCUGCAUGAUCUAAAUGUGUUUUAUGAGUAGCUUCUAAUGCCUCCAGCUGUCUUCCAGAUGCUCCUUGUUUAUUCGCGCUGUAUUGAUCACAACGAAGACAAGUAUCCUUGUGCGGUUUCUUAAACCGCAAAUUAAAAUCAUUAUAGAAUAUUUGCUUAAAUGUACUCUUACUGACUGGGUUAAUGUAGAUUUCGGAAUAUUUAUCAUAUAAUAUACUAAGAUUUAGGUGAGGAGCUAAAUAUUUUGUGAAAAUUUAUUUAUAAACUAAAUCACCUCCUGGCCUUUUUUUUCGUAGAGAGUUUGUUUUGACCACCAGCAGAUCCUCUUGAAUGUUUAGUAAUGCACUUAUUUUUUUUCGAUAGGGCAACAUUGAUUCGACUUUGGCUGAUUUGGUAAGUAUUCAUGAAAGUUUUUUUUGCAGACAGCGACAUUACCAAUUUUGUAUAUACGAGUAAAAACACGUUUUGAAUUCUGUGUCGAAAAACUCUUUUUCUUUUCUUUUACUUUAUUUUGAAUUCUAUUUACUUCUUUAAAGACUUUAUUAUGAAUGCAGAUCCUCCAAAAAUAACCGUUAAUUGGCAACUCUCACACCUAGAAACCAUAAAUGG